rnacentral:rRNA from 3 species
GGACUACCGGGGUUUCUAAUCCCGUUUGCUCCCCUGGCUUUCGCGCCUCAGCGUCAGUAGAGGGCCAGCGGAUCGCUUUCGCCACCGGCGUUCCUUCCGAUAUCAACGCAUUUCACCGCUCCACCGGAAGUUCCAUCCGCCCCUACCUCCCUCGAGCUCACCAGUAUCCGAGGCACUUCCCCAGUUAAGCUGGGGGCUUUCACCCCGGACUUGAUGAGCCGCCUACGCGCCCUUUAAGCCCAGUGAUUCCGAACAACGUUCGCACGGUUCGUCUUACCGCGGCUGCUGGCAC